ACUACCCCGACCGCCCUAAAGCAUCACUGAGACCCACAAGUUGUGACUGGUCACCCAGCUCUGGGGAAUGUCCCCAUAAUAGAACUGCAGAUGUGCACAGACCAUGCCUGGCUCUGUUAUCUGGGUGCUGGGAAUCCUAAGACAGAACUUCAUGCUUGUACAGGAAGCAGAGGCAUGAAGCUAUGCUGUCCAUGAUCUCUACACCACACAGUCAGCCCCAAGUGUUGAGCAAAGAGACCUGAACCUUCCCAUGCCUUUGAUGUUCAAGGUUCCUACAGGCAUGAUCAUCCAUACUACUGAAGGGGCCAUGAGAGCAGUUCGUCCAUGCAAGCCCUACUGGACACAGGCAUCUCCACCCUGAAGACAGAAACUAAAAGACCUUCUUUCAAACUGAACUGGCCCUGGGCCAUGACUUUGAACCUGAUGCUGAGAUGACCCUGGGUGCUCAACCCACCUCAUGGAUGCUGAGAUGACCCUGGGUGCUAGACUUCUGUGAACCUAGUGGUGAGUGGCAAUGACACUGGAGUGUAUUAGAUAAAAGGAAGCUAGCUUUAGCACUAGAAACAACCUGUACUACAAGCAGACUCAAUGUAGCCCGGUCCUUUGUGCACAGAAUGUGUGAUACUAACCUCCUCUGAAUGGGCAGAAAAGUAAGGUCACUAAAUUUUUUACUCCCAGCUACUAAACAGUCCCAACUCUACAGGAUGUGAUAAUAUGCAAUAGGACACUUCAGAGCAGGCAGUGACACCUUUGAAACAACUACCAAAUAAAUACCCAAGAAAGUCCACUUUAAAUGGAAGCCCUGGGGUUAUCCUUUGCCCUAGAAGACCUGAAGUAUCAAUACCAGACAGCAGUGUCAAAGCAACUUCUCUUCUGCGGAGUGUGGUUGAGCAUUCCAUCUCAUUCUAUAGCUGAAGAGGGCCUGUGUGCUCUGUCAGGUAGAUGAAAACAUGCUCAUAAGACUCAAACACAAGAUGAGGUGUGAUAAUGUUCACAAAUGGCAAACUCUUCGAUAUAUACCAAUAAGACAUCAUGAAUAAGAAAUAGAAAUUGGAAUCAAAAGAAAUUCAGGUAAGCCACCAGCAUUCUCCUACGUGCUGUGUGGAUAAAUUAAACUAAGCACAAAUAUACUGACUGCACAUUGGCUAUUCAUGUGAGUUUCAUGAUCAACACAUGUUUUGAAUAUGCAAAGUCAUCUAGAGAAUAUUUAUUGGCUAUCCCCAUUGAUUAAGAUACUUCUAGUACUUGGGACAGAAACCAUUCGGUGAGCUUCUUGUCUCAGGACAGCUACACACAGGAUGGGUUAGCUAGGGAAGUUCAGGGAGUCUCCUGCAGGAGAACCCAUGCACUUGACCUUGAGGGAAUGGAUAGGUCAGGGAGAAAGGUGCGUAAGGGACUGUCUCUGACUCUUCUAGUGGCCAAUGUGAGUACACCCUACUAUCUAUCAGCAGAAUGAAACAGGCCCCCACCUGCAUCAACCACUGCAUGCAUCCAAAGCCUGAGAGAUGACCACAUCAUUAUGAAUUAGGCCUAGGAUACCCCUCCUUCCUCUGAACCUUGGAUUAUGGUCCAUAGUUCUCCCAUAAUUCUCUUCUCUGCCCUUGUCCAACUUAUGGUGGGUCUUUAAUCUCCCUUUCCUGGGGUUAAGUCACACUAGAAGAAGAGCCAUGAGUGACUUGUUCUCUGAUUCACUAGGGUAACUUUUGUUCCUAUUCUAUAUUCCCAUGGAGUAAUAGGAGAUGUGUUUACUUUGUUUUCUCUUGUAACAGGAUACCACUGAGUUGGUAAUCAAUGAACCAUAGAAAUGUAUCAAACUCACAGUGCUAAAGAUCAGGAGUGUGGUGACAGCACUUGGAAAGCGCCUUUAUGCUUCAUCAAAGAGAAUAGAAAAGAAAAACUUAAACGCAUUAUAAAGGUUCUGCCUCUUAGCAAUGGUUCAAUGGCAAGUCAACUUCAACACAAAUUAAGGAGGAGCAUCGACCACAGAAAGAGUGUAGACGCUAAGUACAACACCCCCAUGCAAGCCUUCUUCAGAUCAUAAAGAACAGAAGGCAGGUCAAACUUUCAUUCCUAUGUAACCCCUCAGACCCUGGCUCAGAACAAAUAUCUGAGAGUCAGUAUGGGAAGAGUAACAACAAAGACCCAGGCAGUCUUGUUUACUGACUGGGAAGGUAUUUCCUUGGCUUAUAAACAAGAUGUCUAAGAUGAGACGUUUAAGAUGUUUAUUUAGGUCCUUGAGCAAAUUUGAAAGUCAGGUUACUUUGUUUAAAGUGACUGCCAAUGGAACUUUCAAUCCUCUUGUCUUUGGUUUUUUGGAAGGUGGUGAAGUUUAUAGAUAUGGUGUGACUUUGAGAUGUUACUUAGCAUAAGGCUGGGUCAGGUUCUUGAGACUUUACCUGAGAGGGGUUAUACCACCCGAGUGUCACAUUUAUCCAACAUUACCUGUCUUCUGCAGUCCUCUUUCCAAACACUUCCUGCUGCUUUGUGAAUUGAGGGCAGAGACUUUCUCUCUGAACUAACACAACAGCCACCAUCUGCAUGAGAACAUUCUGGACUUGAAAUGUGUGGUCCAAGUUGAAAUGAGCUACAAGAGCAAAUAAACAGAGACUGCAAGACAUAGUAUAUACAGCAAGUAUACCAUAACUUGUUAACCUGACAUACUGGAGAAAGUGAAAUAAUAAAAUUAAUGUCAGCUAUUCUUACAUUUUAUUGUAUGUACUAGAAAAUUUUUACAUGAGACAUUUUGUUGGAACAAUGCUGGUUAGUAAUCAAAUAACUUUUCCAAACCAUGAUUUCAUUUAAAUUUAGAGAAAAGGAGAGCUCUAAGUUGGAAUGCAGCUGCCCGGAGUGUGUAGUAUUGAGGAAAACUUCCAUGCAUGAACAGAUUUAAAACCCAUGACCACCUAUAGAGAGGGGACUCUGGGUCUCCCCAGUAUACAAACAGACAUAGGACAUACAGAAAUGACAAGUCACCGUCGUUUUGGUAUGGCAAAGCUGGCAGUUAGCCCAGACCACAAGUCCUCAGUGUCUGAUUUUGUUAUGACUGGGACGUACCCUUGUGAACCUCUCAGAAUGUGGUUAGUAAUGGAGAUUCUCAUUUCAAAGGAAGUUUUAUCUUGGGUGACAUCUUUCUGGCUGACUUUGAAGCAACAGUGAGAAAACAUCCGAAUUCACUAUUAAUACAGCAUGAAUUCUAGAGCCAGCCAAGAUGGCUUCCUGAGGGUUGGCUUGGGGACCCGAUGAAGUUACUUUGCAAUGACUCUGGUGGGAAGUAUGAGUGACUGGGGACAUAGGGUGAUAAACCUUCCUAUCCAGCAAACCACAGUUAUACAGACACGGAGAGGAGACAGGGAAUAGCUGUCCAAUUGGGUUGUGGAAAAGCUCUGACAAUACGAGAAGGCUCUGCUGCAGAGGCUUGGCAUACAUUAAGGGCUUGAUAAACAUCUGCUCUUUCCUCUGGGCUUCCUUUGUUAAAAUCUUAAGUUAAAAGUUGCUAUUAAUGACUUAAAAGCACUGUAGGGCAAUGCACUCAGCACACCCAGGCACCAGCUACAUAGUGCAAUGCCCUCACAGUGACUUCAGAGAACCUUCUAGAGCUUUCCUCAAACAUAUCCAUGCUACAAAAGGUGUCGUUAUGUUGUUUUGUACACUAAAUCAAUGUUGUUAUGAUUUUAUUUUUCUCCCAAUUCCUGUGUACUGCUUUUUAGUUUAACAAAUUAAAAGACAUCUUGAGUAUACAUGACUUUCACUUACAGGUAGGUUGUGGCAUAUUACAGACAGAUAAAAUAUUUUUAAACAAUGCCUUAUCUUACCUAGGAGGUGAAUAGUAAGUUAGUGGGGUUUAUUAUCCAUUUUCCAGCCCCUCUACCCACAGUCUCGGAUGAUUUUCUAGAGUUGGUUUCCUUGGACUGUAUCCCUUGUUUUAAAUUCCAUUUUAUAAUAGCCCCUCUCUCCUGCUCUCUCUUAUUCUUUUCCUGUGUCCUUUCCCACAACGAUACAUAUGGAAUGGAGGAACAAAAGUGAGAAAAGACAGCAACACGCAGCUGCAGGAUGAGACCAGUGGAGCAAAGCUCAGCAAGGGUCACAAACAUCUACUGCUGCAGGGCCCUGUGUGCCUUUCCCAGGAGCUGUGCUUUUCCUCUGAGCGUCCCAGCAGGGAUGGCUUAACAAUUAAAAGAUCACAAUGCUCAUGAGAUUCAGUUUGAGAAGUAAACCCAGAAUCCUCUUCUGGGUGAGUGAAGGUUCCUAGCAGUGCCACCAAAGCACUGGAUCUCAUUUUUCUUUUUUAACAAACUAACUAACUAACUAAGUAAGUAACUAACUAACUAAAACAGUGUUGAAAAGAAAACUAACAUGAACUUGAACUUGAGCCUAGAACCCCCUUUCAUGAGAAUGGAGCCCAGGAGGUACAGAGCCUGCCUGAUGCCUGGGGCAAAACUCUUGGCUUUCUAGAGCAGUGGAAUCUGAGUCGGACUACAAGCACCUGUCUUUUGAAAGGAUGCCAGGCUGAAUGAAAAAAGGAAAGC
rnacentral:sRNA from 1 species